rnacentral:rRNA from 1 species
GAUUAACGCUGGCGGCAGGCCUAACACAUGCAAGUCGAGCGGCAGCGGAAAGUAGCUUACUACUUUGCCGGCGAGCGGCGGACGGGUGAGUAAUGUCUGGGAAACUGCCUGAUGGAGGAGGAUAACUACUGGAAACGGUAGCUAAUACCGCAUAACGUCGCAAGACCAAAGAGGGGGACCUUCGGGCCUCUUGCCAUCAGAUGUGCCCAGAUGGGAUUAGCUAGUAGGUGGGGUAACGGCUCACCUAGGCGACGAUCCGUAACUGGUCUGAGAGGAUGAUCAGUCACACCGGAACUGAGACACGGUCCGGACUCCUACGGGAGGCAGCAGUGGGGAAUAUUGGACAAUGGGGGCAACCCUGAUCCAGCCAUGCCGCGUGUGUGAAGAAGGCCUUCGGGUUGUAAAGCACUUUAGGUCGGGAGGAAGGUUCGCUGGCUAAUAUCCAGCGGAAUUGACGUUACCGACAGAAUAAGCACCGGCUAACUCCGUGCCAGCAGCCGCCGUAA